CUACAGUAGGUCCAGUCAUCUCUGGUUAAUAUAUUACACUAUAACCUACAGUAGGUCCAGUCAUCUCUGGUUAAUAUAUUACACUAUAACCUACAGUAGGUCCAGUCAUCUCUGGUUAAUAUAUUACACUAUAACCUACAGUAGGUCCAGUCAUCUCUGGUUAAUAUAUUACACUAUAACCUACAGUAGGUCCAGUCAUCUCUGGUUAAUAUAUUACACUAUAACCUACAGUAGGUCCA